rnacentral:rRNA from 1 species
GAGCUUGCUCCCGGAUGUUAGCGGCGGACGGGUGAGUAACACGUGGGUAACCUGCCUGUAAGACUGGGAUAACUCCGGGAAACCGGAGCUAAUACCGGAUAGUUCCUUGAACCGCAUGGUUCAAGGAUGAAAGACGGUUUCGGCUGUCACUUACAGAUGGACCCGCGGCGCAUUAGCUAGUUGGUGAGGUAACGGCUCACCAAGGCGACGAUGCGUAGCCGACCUGAGAGGGUGAUCGGCCACACUGGGACUGAGACACGGCCCAGACUCCUACGGGAGGCAGCAGUAGGGAAUCUUCCGCAAUGGACGAAAGUCUGACGGAGCAACGCCGCGUGAGUGAUGAAGGUUUUCGGAUCGUAAAGCUCUGUUGUUAGGGAAGAACAAGUGCAAGAGUAACUGCUUGCACCUUGACGGUACCUAACCAGAAAGCCACGGCUAACUACGUGCCAGCAGCCGCGGUAAUACGUAGGUGGCAAGCGUUGUCCGGAAUUAUUGGGCGUAAAGGGCUCGCAGGCGGUUUCUUAAGUCUGAUGUGAAAGCCCCCGGCUCAACCGGGGAGGGUCAUUGGAAACUGGGAAACUUGAGUGCAGAAGAGGAGAGUGGAAUUCCACGUGUAGCGGUGAAAUGCGUAGAGAUGUGGAGGAACACCAGUGGCGAAGGCGACUCUCUGGUCUGUAACUGACGCUGAGGAGCGAAAGCGUGGGGAGCGAACAGGAUUAGAUACCCUGGUAGUCCACGCCGUAAACGAUGAGUGCUAAGUGUUAGGGGGUUUCCGCCCCUUAGUGCUGCAGCUAACGCAUUAAGCACUCC